GGGCUCGUGUAGGUCUCUGGGUCACCUCCACCCGUGUUUAUCGUACCUUGUUGCUUCGGCGGGCCCGCCUCACGGCCGCCGGGGGGCAUCCGCCCCCGGGCCCGCGCCCGCCGAAGACACACAAACGAACUCUUGUCUGAAGAUUGCAGUCUGAGUACUUGACUAAAUCAGUUAAAACUUUCAACAACGGAUCUCUUGGUUCCGGCAUCGAUGAAGAACGCAGCGAAAUGCGAUAAGUAAUGUGAAUUGCAGAAUUCAGUGAAUCAUCGAGUCUUUGAACGCACAUUGCGCCCCCUGGUAUUCCGGGGGGCAUGCCUGUCCGAGCGUCAUUGCUGCCCUCAAGCACGGCUUGUGUGUUGGGCUCUCGCCCCCCGCUUCCGGGGGGCGGGCCCGAAAGGCAGCGGCGGCACCGCGUCCGGUCCUCGAGCGUAUGGGGCUUCGUCACCCGCUCUGUAGGCCCGGCCGGCGCCCGCCGGCGAACACCAUCAAUCUUAACCAGGUUGACCUCGGAUCAGGUAGGGAUACCCGCUGAACUUAAGCAUAUCAAUAAGCGGAGGAA
rnacentral:rRNA from 1 species